GCUUAACCGUGGAGGGUCAUUGGAAACUGGAGGACUUGAGUGCAGAAGAGGAGAGUGGAAUUCCAUGUGUAGCGGUGAAAUGCGUAGAGAUAUGGAGGAACACCAGUGGCGAAGGCGACUCUCUGGUCUGUAACUGACGCUGAGGAGCGAAAGCGUGGGUAGCGAACAGGAUUAGAUACCCUGGUAGUCCACGCCGUAAACGAUGAGUGCUAGGUGUUAGGGGGUUUCCGCCCCUUAGUGCUGAAGUUAACGCAUUAAGCACUCCGCCUGGGGAGUACGGCCGCAAGGCUGAAACUCAAAAGAAUUGACGGGGACCCGCACAAGCGGUGGAGCAUGUGGUUUAAUUCGAAGCAACGCGAAGAACCUUACCAGGUCUUGACAUCCUUUCGACCUCCCUAGAGAUAGGGAUCUCCCUUCGGGGACGAAAGUGACAGGUGGUGCAUGGUUGUCGUCAGCUCGUGUCGUGAGAUGUUGGGUUAAGUCCCGCAACGAGCGCAACCCUUGAUCUUAGUUGCCAGCAUUAAGUUGGGCACUCUAAGGUGACUGCCGGUGACAAACCGGAGGAAGGUGGGGAUGACGUCAAAUCAUCAUGCCCCUUAUGAUCUGGGCUACACACGUGCUACAAUGGAUGGUACAAAG
rnacentral:rRNA from 1 species